ACACAUUUGCAAAUGUAAAAAGUCAGUUAUGACCGUUCUUUACUGCUGUGUUUUCCAGCACCUGAAAUAAGCAAAGAAAAACCAAAGCCAGCACCAAAGAAAGGUAUCUGAGUUCAUCUGUAAGAAUAAUGUCAAAACCUGUAGUAUGGCCAGUUUUAAGACAAUGCUAAUGCUUUCAAUUUUUUUAUAAACUUCAUUUUAGAGGCUUAAGUCAUCAAAGAGAAAGUCAAACCAGCCCCUGAGAAGAAAGGUUUGAGUUGCUUUAACAAUUAAAUAAUAAUUACCAUCCCCAUUCAAAAAUAAUUAUGCUAAAAUGUACCUUUUCUAUAUAUUGUCAUAAUUUUAGAGGCUGAAGUCAAGGAGAAAGCUAAACCAGCCCCCGAGAAGAAAGAGGCUGACGUCAUCAAGGAGAAAGUUAAACCAGCUCCUGUAAAGAAAGGUGCAUGAAUUUAAAUGAAAUCCUCCUGCUUAUGCUGACACUUUCUGCUGUAUGAUGAAUCACAUGAAUGAAAUCAGAUCAAUUUUAAACACUUGCCUGAAGUUGCAAUAGAAAAGGCCCCCGAACCAAAACCCCAAAAUGCUUCGAUAUCUCCCCAC
rnacentral:lncRNA from 1 species